AGGGAUGUGGCUCAGUGGUAGAGUGCUGUCUUGGCACGCAUAAGGCCCUGAGUUCAAUUCCCAGCAUUGCAA
rnacentral:tRNA from 1 species